rnacentral:rRNA from 1 species
CGGAGGAAGGUGGGGACGNCGUCAAGUCAUCAUGGCCCUUNCGAGUAGGGCUACACACGUGCUACAAUGGCGCAUACAGAGGGCAGCCAACUCGCGAGAGUGAGCGAAUCCCAAAAAGUGCGUCGUAGUCCGGAUUGGAGUCUGCAACUCGACUCCAUGAAGUCGGAAUCGCUAGUAAUCGUAGAUCAGAAUGCUACGGUGAAUACGUUCCCGGGCCUUGUACACACC